GUGGGGAAUCUUCCACAAUGGACGAAAGUCUGAUGGAGCAACGCCGCGUGAGUGAAGAAGGGUUUCGGCUCGUAAAGCUCUGUUGUCGGGGACGAAUGUGCAGUAUUUGAAUAAAGUACUGUAAUGACGGUACCUGACGAGGAAGCCACGGCUAACUACGUGCCAGCAGCCGCGGUAAUACGUAGGUGGCAAGCGUUGUCCGGAAUUAUUGGGCGUAAAGGGAGCGCAGGCGGGAAGGUAAGUCGGUCUUAAAAGUGCGGGGCUCAACCCCGUGAUGGGAUCGAAACUAUCUUUCUUGAGUGCAGGAGAGGAAAGUGGAAUUCCUAGUGUAGCGGUGAAAUGCGUAGAUAUUAGGAGGAACACCAGUGGCGAAGGCGACUUUCUGGACUGUAACUGACGCUGAGGCUCGAAAGCCAGGGGAGCGAACGGGAUUAGAUACCCCGGUAGUCC
rnacentral:rRNA from 1 species